rnacentral:rRNA from 1 species
GGCUAAUCAAACCCCGUAAUAGCUGGUUCUCCCCGAAAUGUAUUUAGGUGCAGCGUCAUGCGCUUAUCGAGGGGGGUAGAGCACUGAAUGAGCUAGGGGGCAUACCCGCCUACCAAACUCAAUCAAACUCCGAAUACCCUCGAACGAAGCAUGGCAGUAAGACAGUGGGAGAUAAGUUCCGUUGCCAAAAGGGAAAGAGCCCAGAUCGUCAGCUAAGGUCCCUAAAUUCGUGUUAAGUGUUAAAGGAUGUGGAAACGCACAGACAACCAGGAGGUUGGCUUAGAAGCAGCCAUCCUUCAAAGAAAGCGUAAUAGCUCACUGGUCAAGCGGGUCUGCGCCGAAAAUAUAACGGGGCUUAAACACGAUACCGAAGCUACGGGUUCUCGAAAGAGAGCGGUAGGCGAGCGUUCUGACAGAGAUACACGAUAGACGGAGACGACUAUUAACGGCUGUCAGAAGUGACUAUGCAGGCAUGAGUAGCGAUAAACCGAGUGAGAAACUCGGUCGCCGUAAGCCCAAGGUUUCC